rnacentral:rRNA from 1 species
GUGGCGGACGGGUGGAGUAACGCGUGGGUAACCGUAGCCUCCACACUGGGGAGUAACAGUUAGAAAUAGCUGCUAAUACCGCAUAAGCGCACAGUUCGCAUGGAACAGUGUGAAAAACUCCGGUGGUGUGAGAUGGACCCGCGUCUGAUUAGCCAGUUGGCGGGGUAACGGCCCACCAAAGCGACGAUCAGUAGCCGGCCUGAGAGGGUGAACGGCCACAUUGGGACUGAGACACGGCCCAAACUCCUACGGGAGGCAGCAUG